GUAAAUAGAAUAUUCACCGUUGAUGCAGUAAAGAUAAGCCUGCAACAGGUGUUUUUAACUUCACUGUGUUCUCAAUCUUUUAUUGAGACACUGAAAAUUCACACUUCAAGAUGAAGGAUGCUUUCCAGCAAGUUAGACAGAUUAACACAAUGUAACGUAUAACACUGAGCGCAUCCAGUAUCUAGUAGCACAACCAUGACCACUUACUGAGCACUCAGUGAAUACUAUUGAAGCAACGCUUUUUUAUGCAACUAUUUCUUCUUAGAGAAAUAAAAUGUACA